rnacentral:rRNA from 1 species
GACGAACGCUGGCGGCGUGCUUAACACAUGCAAGUCGAACGGAAAGGCCCUGCUUUUGUGGGGUGCUCGAGUGGCGAACGGGUGAGUAACACGUGAGUAACCUGCCCUUGACUUUGGGAUAACUUCAGGAAACUGGGGCUAAUACCGGAUAGGAGCUCCUGCUGCAUGGUGGGGGUUGGAAAGUUUCGGCGGUUGGGGAUGGACUCGCGGCUUAUCAGCUUGUUGGUGGGGUAGUGGCUUACCAAGGCUUUGACGGGUAGCCGGCCUGAGAGGGUGACCGGCCACAUUGGGACUGCGAUACGGCCCAGACUCCUACGGGAGGCAGCAGUGGGGAAUAUUGCACAAUGGGCGGAAGCCUGAUGCAGCAACGCCGCGUGCGGGAUAACGGCCUUCGGGUUGUAAACCGCUUUCGCCUGUGCCGAAGCGUGAGUGACGGUAAUGGGUAAAGAAGCACCGGCUAACUACGUG